UGGGGAAUCUUCCGCAAUGGACGAAAGUCUGACGGAGCAACGCCGCGUGAGUGAUGACGGCCUUCGGGUUGUAAAGCUCUGUUAAUCGGGACGAAAGGCCUUCUUGCGAAUAGUUAGAAGGAUUGACGGUACCGGAAUAGAAAGCCACGGCUAACUACGUGCCAGCAGCCGCGGUAAUACGUAGGUGGCAAGCGUUGUCCGGAAUUAUUGGGCGUAAAGCGCGCGCAGGCGGAUUGGUCAGUCUGUCUUAAAAGUUCGGGGCUUAACCCCGUGAUGGGAUGGAAACUGCCAAUCUAGAGUACCGGAGAGGAAAGUGGAAUUCCUAGUGUAGCGGUGAAAUGCGUAGAUAUUAGGAAGAACACCAGUGGCGAAGGCGACUUUCUGGACGAAAACUGACGCUGAGGCGCGAAAGCCAGGGGAGCGAACGGGAUUAGAUACCCCGGUAGUCCUGGCCGUAAACGAUGGGUACUAGGUGUAGGAGGUAUCGACCCCUUCUGUGCCGGAGUUAACGCAAUAAGUACCCCGCCUGGGGAGUACGACCGCAAGGUUG
rnacentral:rRNA from 1 species